rnacentral:rRNA from 1 species
UUGUUUAUCAAAAACAUGUCUUUUAGAAUUUAAUUUAAAGUCUAGCCUGCCCACUGAUUUUAUUAAAGGGCCGCAGUAUAUUUACUGUGCAAAGGUAUCAUAAUCAUUUGUCUUUUAAUUGAAGGCUGGAAUGAAUGGUUGGAUGAAGUAUUUACUGUCUCAUUUUAAAAAAUUAAGAAUUUAGCUUUUUAAUUAAAAGGUUAAAAUAAAGUUAAAAGACGAGAAGACCCUAUAGAUUUUUAUAUUUAUUUAAUUUAURAUAUAAAGAAUAUAAUUUAWUAUAAUUUAAAAAAAUAUUUAAUUGGGGUGAUUGAAAAAUUAAAUUAAYUUUUUUUWAUUAURAAACAUUAAUUUAUGARUAAUUGAUCCAAUUUUAUUGAUUAAAAAUUUAAAUUACCUUAGGGAUAACAGCGUAAUUUUUUUAUAGAGUUCAUAUCGAUAAAAAAGAUUGCGACCUCGAUGUUGAAUUAAAGUUAAUAUUUAAGUGCAGUAGUUUAAAUGUUAGGUCUGUUCGACCUUUAAAUCUUUACAUGAUCUGAGUUCAAACCGG